CUCCUCUCCUGGCCCAAAACCCUAAAGUGAAAGCAGCAGGAAAAAGAAAAAGGAUAAAAGGGAAUUCCUUGUUCGUCGAUCUCAGUAAAAAAGGAAGUUCUGCUAGCCUCUAUGUGAAACUCAAGUACAAGAAAAGUUGUAGUUUAGUUGGGACACCAAACAGAGAAGGAUACUGAUAACUAUAGCUUUCAGGAAAAAUAUAUUUUUUUUUCUCUAAGGGAACUUAGAGUUUGAGCUAGCUGUGUGGAUAUGAGAAUGGUCAACGAGAGAGGAGCAAGGUGAGAGUCAAAAUGCAUAGGGUUUAGUGCCUGAAACUGAUGAACGCAAAUAAAUAUGGUGCAGAGGCCAUGUUUUAUUUGGG
rnacentral:misc_RNA from 1 species